UACCUCAUCGACCAGAAGGAUUUCCUUCAGGUCGAUGAGGUUCGAUGAGGUUGUUGUACCUCAUCGACCGGAAGGAAUCCCUUCUGGUCGAUGAGGUU
rnacentral:miRNA from 1 species